CAAAAUAUAGCUUAACGAAAGCAUUUCGCUUACACCGAAAACAUAUCUACUAAACCAGAUUAUUUUGA
rnacentral:tRNA from 1 species